GAGUUUGAUCUUGGCUCAGAUUGAACGCUGGCGGCAUGCCUUACACAUGCAAGUCGAACGGCCGCACGGGAGCUUGCUCCUGGUGGCGAGUGGCGAACGGGUGAGUAAUGCAUCGGAACGUAUCCUGGAGUGGGGGAUAACGUAGCGAAAGUUACGCUAAUACCGCAUAUUCUGUGAGCAGGAAAGCGGGGGACCUUCGGGCCUCGCGCUCUUGGAGCGGCCGAUGUCGGAUUAGCUAGUUGGUGAGGUAAAGGCUCACCAAGGCGACGAUCCGUAGCAGGUCUGAGAGGAUGAUCUGCCACACUGGAACUGAGACACGGUCCAGACUCCUACGGGAGGCAGCAGUGGGGAAUUUUGGACAAUGGGGGCAACCCUGAUCCAGCCAUGCCGCGUGAGUGAAGAAGGCCUUCGGUUGUAAG
rnacentral:rRNA from 1 species